AUGCACGCUGGCGGCGUGCCUAAUACCUGCCAGUCGAGCGAACGGACGAGAAGCUUGCUUUUCUGAUGUUAGCGGCGGACGGGUGAGUAACACGUGGAUAACCUACCUAUAAGACUGGGAUAACUUCGGGAAACCGGAGCUAAUACCGGAUAAUAUUUUGAACCGCAUGGUUCAAAAGUGAAAGACGGUCUUGCUGUCACUUAUAGCUGGAUCCGCGCUGCAUUAGCUAGUUGGUAAGGUAACGGCUUACCAAGGCAACGAUGCAUAGCCGACCUGAGAGGGUGAUCGGCCACACUGGAACUGAGACACGGUCCAGACUCCUACGGGAGGCAGCAGUAGGGAAUCUUCCGCAAUGGGCGAAAGCCUGACGGAGCAACGCCGCGUGAGUGAUGAAGGUCUUCGGAUCGUAAAACUCUGUUAUUAGGGAAGAACAUAUGUGUAAGUAACUGUGCACAUCUUGACGGUACCUAAUCAGAAAGCCACGGCUAACUACGUG
rnacentral:rRNA from 1 species